UACGUAGGGAGCAAGCGUUUGUCCGGAAUCAUUGGGCGUAAAGCGCGCGUAGGUGGCCUUGUAAGUCCGCUUGUGAAAGUCAAAGGCUCAACCUUUGAAAGCCGGUGGAUACUGUGAAGGCUAGAGUACCGGAAGAGGCGAGUGGAAUUCCUGGUGUAGCGGUGGAAUGCGCAGAUAUCAGGAGGAACACCAAUAGCGAAGGCAGCUCGCUGGGA
rnacentral:rRNA from 1 species